UGUUAUAGAAAGCUAGUGAACUUCAAUAAAAGGAAGCACGAGAUUCAGUUAAUUUCACACUUAAAAUCUGGGGCUUGGGUAUGUAGGCUUAUGAGAAGUAGAAUCUUAAAUAAAAUAAAUUCUGUAAAUUUGUUUAGAAAUUCUACCAGCAUACAUGGCCAUUUCAUUCUAUCUUAAGUUUUUCAGAACUUACAGUAAGUCAUGUACAAGCGCAAUUAUUCCCUCAGAAACAUGAUUUGGAGAGGUGAAAAAGAUGGAGGAACACAUUCCUCGAAUGAGAAGAAGAACCAAGGAUUUGGGCAACCAAAUUGUGGAUUUAGUCAUUCCUGCUUACCUUCUGAAAUCUGUGGAGCAGUGUGCUAAUAAAGUUCACAGCACUUCAGACGAAGAAGAAUGAUAUACAAGAAGAAUCAUGAAGAAUCAUACUUGAUUAGCCUCCCUUACACCUGAACCUUGAGUUAUAGAAUGAGAUCCUGGGCUUUGAACUGAUGGCCUAACAAGAUACAUUUUGCAUAUUGGAAGAACAGAAUUACUACUGCAAAAAUGAUAAAAGCACAAUACAGAAGUCCAGAAAAUUGCAAAUAAAUACUAAAAAAGUACAACAAAGAGUGCAUUAAAGAAACUAGUCAUGAGAAGGUGGAGCCAAGAUGGUGGAAUAGACAGAUGCUUCUGGUGAGCCCUCUUUACAAUAAAGACCCCCCAAAAAACAAGUGAAAAGAGUGUAUUUGUGACAAGCUGGGAGCCCUGAGUUUCAAAGGUAAGCUUAGAAAACAAACUGAGGGGCAGGGGGAGGGAAAGACCGUUCAGAAGUGGAGAGGAGUUACCACACCCAAAUUGUGGGGAGCCCUCAGGCACCACUCCCAGAGCUGCGGCAGUGGGCUGGUACUAGCAUUCUGCCACAGUUUCUUUAGGGAGAAGCAGCCAGCCACACAGCCUACUCACACCUCUGGAACCUGAGG